UACGUAGGGUGCAAGCGUUGUCCGGAAUUAUUGGGCGUAAAGAGCUCGUAGGCGGUUUGUCGCGUCUGCUGUGAAAACUCGGGGCUUAACCCCGGGCCUGCAGUGGGUACGGGCAGACUAGAGUGCGGUAGGGGAGACUGGAAUUCCUGGUGUAGCGGUGAAAUGCGCAGAUAUCAGGAGGAACACCGGUGGCGAAGGCGGGUCUCUGGGCCGUAACUGACGCUGAGGAGCGAAAGCCAGGGGAGCGAACGGG
rnacentral:rRNA from 1 species